rnacentral:rRNA from 1 species
AUGCUACUAGCUGUUUAUUCUUCUGUCCUUUUCCAUUUUUUGUAUUUAAUUUAUGAUUUUUGGCGGAUCAAUCAUGAUUCACAGAUACAACAUUCGAUUCAAUUGCAGCCGCUGUUUGCCGCAAACAUUUCCAUGAAAUUUGUAUGUUCAGUUGAAUUUAUUCGGCAAGUUUUUUUUGUUUUUCCACCCUAUCUAUCUAGCUCUGUUCAACAACAAAUCUUCGUCAUUUUAAGUCUUGGCGUAUGCAAAACGAUGCCAAAUCCAGCCAGUGCAAACUCCAAUUACUCGUUUUGCCAGCAAAAGUCUUCCCACUAUCAAUGA